GCCUCCUUAGCUCAAUUGGCAGAGCUCUGGUUUUGUAAACCAGAGGUUCUCGGUUCGAGUCCGAGAGGAGGCU
rnacentral:tRNA from 1 species